rnacentral:rRNA from 1 species
GACGAACGCUGGCGGCGUGCUUAACACAUGCAAGUCGAACGGAAAGGCCCUGCUUUUGUGGGGUGCUCGAGUGGCGAACGGGUGAGUAACACGUGAGUAACCUGCCCUUGACUUUGGGAUAACUUCAGGAAACUGGGGCUAAUACCGGAUAGGAGCUCCUGCUGCAUGGUGGGGGUUGGAAAGUUUCGGCGGUUGGGGAUGGACUCGCGGCUUAUCAGCUUGUUGGUGGGGUAGUGGCUUACCAAGGCUUUGACGGGUAGCCGGCCUGAGAGGGUGACCGGCCACAUGGGAACUAAGAGAGGCCCAAGCCGCGAAGGGGAGGAAAGGGGGGAAAAUCUGGCAAAGGGGGGGAAGGCGGGAUGAAGAAGCCCGGGGUGGGGAAACAGGGCUUGGGGGGGAAAAACCGUUUUCGCCGGAGACAAAGGGGGAGUGAGGGAAAGGAAUAAAAAAGCCCGGGCUAACUACGUC